CUGUAGCCGCGGUAAUACGAAGGGGGCUAGCGUUGCUCGGAAUGACUGGGCGUAAAGGGCGCGUAGGCGGAUCACGCAGUCAGAUGUGAAAUUCCUGGGCUUAACCUGGGGGCUGCAUUUGAGACGCGUGGUCUAGAGUGUGAAAGAGGGUCGUGGAAUUCCCAGUGUAGAGGUGAAAUUCGUAGAUAUUGGGAAGAACACCGGUGGCGAAGGCGGCGACCUGGUUCAUGACUGACGCUGAGGCGCGAAAGCGUGGGGAGCAAACAGGAUUAGAUACCCCCGUAGUCCCUGUCUCUUAUAC
rnacentral:rRNA from 1 species